GUCUACGGCCAUAGCACUCUGAACACGCCUGCUCUCAUCUGACCUCGGAAGCUAAGCAGGGUCGGGCCUCGUUAGUUCUUGGAUGGGAGAAAUUACAGUGUUAAAAAGUAAUCGUGAGUA
ensembl:rRNA 5S_rRNA 5S ribosomal RNA